rnacentral:rRNA from 1 species
UGGGGAAUAUUGCACAAUGGGCGCAAGCCUGAUGCAGCCAUGCCGCGUGUAUGAAGAAGGCCUUCGGGUUGUAAAGUACUUUCAGUCGGGAGGAAGGUGUCAAGGUUAAUAACCUUGGCAAUUGACGUUACCGACAGAAGAAGCACCGGCUAACUCCGUGCCAGCAGCCGCGGUAAUACGGAGGGUGCAAGCGUUAAUCGGAAUUACUGGGCGUAAAGCGCACGCAGGCGGUUGAUUGAGUCAGAUGUGAAAUCCCCGGGCUUAACCCGGGAGUUGCAUCUGAUACUGGCAAGCUUGAGUCUCGUAGAGGGGGGUAGAAUUCCAGGUGUAGCGGUGAAAUGCGUAGAGAUCUGGAGGAAUACCGGUGGCGAAGGCGGCCCCCUGGACGAAGACUGACGCUCAGGUGCGAAAGCGUGGGGAGCAAACAGG